UACAGGGGGUGCAAGCGUUGCUCGGAAUCAUUGGGCGUAAAGCGCACGUAGGCGGUUCGUUAUGUCGGAUGUGAAAGCCCUUGGCUUAACCGAGGAAGUGCAUCCGAAACUGGCGAGCUAGAGUACGAAAGAGGAUCGCGGAAUUCCCGGUGUAGAGGUGAAAUUCGUAGAUAUCGGGAGGAACACCGGUGGCGAAGGCGGGUCUCUGGGCCGAUACUGACGCUGAGGAGCGAAAGCGUGGGGGAGCGAACAGG
rnacentral:rRNA from 1 species